AUCAACAGUGAAUAAUAAUCUUCCACUUUUAGAGACCUGCCACAGAUUGGUCGCCCACUCACCCUGAUGGACAAUGUACUUGUGCCUGGGUUUGGGCUAUUACCUAUGAAAUUGCUGUGAACGCUAGCAUGAUGGAUAGAGCCACGCUCCUGGCUGAGCACAGCCAGCUCAAGUAACUGCACUAGGCACCUCAUGUCUGAAGACCCAGGUCCUUCAGUCUUGCCACUGGAGUCUCUCCUGUGCUUUUUCCCUCAGCAUGGAGGUUAGCUUUCCUCUGUUCAACAUAGAAGCUUCGAGAUUUUCCCUGAGGUGUCUAAACAGUGCCACAGUCCAAGACAUCUUUUAAGAAAUCUGCAAAUCAGACAAGAAAGCACCUAGUUUGACCAUGUAACAAGCUUGCACUGUACUGCACCAGGCCGUGUGUUCCGUGAUAGCUCUGCUUCCUACAACAAGAACAGGAGAGGAAAAAUACAGAAAGCACGAAGAAGGCACUCCUUGUUUUCAGUUAUCUUCAUAGUUCUUGCGAUUCUUGGCUGUAGCUAAUUCCCACAGCGCAGAUGAUGAAUGAGCAGAAGAAGAACAGCCAGUCAUUGUACAAGAGGCAGCACUGAUGGGUCUGAGAGGUGUCUGAGGAAAGUUCCGGUCAGCUGGAAAGCCUGGUAUUCUCUGUGACAAACCAGUGUUCGCCAUGCGAACCUCUUCAUGUCAUGUGCCUCGCUGAACAUGAGAUCAGUGCUUAGGCGUGACAGCAUGUACCUCAGCCCCAACAUUAAGGAGACAAGGGCAGAAGAAUCCAGAAGUUCAAGGGUAGCUUAGGUCAUGCAGGAAGUUCCAGUCCAUUCUGAGCUGUGUGAGACCCUACUCACAAAGAA